GUCAUCCUUCAAGGUCAGAGGUUAAAUAUAUGUGGCCAAAAUCACUCAUUUUAUGAAUACUUUUGCAAUAUUGAAGAUAGCAACUUGAUAUUUGGCAUGCAUGUGUAUCUCAUGGAGCUGCACAAUUUUAGUGGUGAAAGGUCAAGGUCAAGGUCAUCCUUCAAGGUCAGAGGUCAAAUAUAUGUGGCCCAAAUCGCUUAUUUUAUGAAUACUUUUGCAAUAUUGAAGAUAGCAACUUGAUAUUUGGCAUGCAUGUGUAUCUCAUGGAGCUGCACAUUUUGAGUGUUGAAAGGUAAAGGUCAAGGUCAUCCUUCAAGGUCAAAUAUAUGGGUUAAAAUUGCUCAUGUAAUGUCACUUCUGCAAUAUUGAAGCUAGCAAUUUUAUAUUUGAAAUGCAUGUGUAUCUCAUGGAGCUGCACAUUUUGAGUGGUGAAGGGUCAAGGUCAAGGUCAUCCUUCAAGGUCAAACGUCAUAAAGGGGAACAUUGUGUUUCACAAACGCAUCUUGUUUUUCAAUAUGAAUUAGGCUAAAAUAAUUUCUACAGUCUUUCGUUCUUCGCCUCUUGAGAUGCAGUUGUCUGCUACUGGCAUAAGUAUGUGCACUUAGUACUUGUUUACUGAAAAAAAUGUAAUCAAAUUACCUAAACACAGUUUUGUGUCUAUUAGAAUAUUAAAUACUGCACAAAUUUGAAAACAUUCAAAAUGAUCCUCGCUCGGGGAAAAUGUGGCUUAAUGCAUGUGCAUAAAGUGUAGUCCCAGAUAACCUGCAGUCCACACAGGCCAGCAAGGUUGACACUUUCAAUUUUUAUGAUAUUUUAGGUGAAAAGAUAUACCAUGCUUUUCCAAGAUCCAGAUAACGCAGCCAGUGUUGUCCCUGAAAUCUAUUACCAUAUUUUACGUACAUGCGUUAAACCCCGUUUUCCCAGAUUGAGGCUCACAUGUAUCACUGGUUUUCUUAUGGCAG